rnacentral:tRNA from 1 species
CUUUUAAAGGAUAGAAGCCUA